rnacentral:rRNA from 1 species
CCUACGGGCGGCAGCAGUGGGGAAUAUUGGGCAAUGGGCGCAAGCCUGACCCAGCAACGCCGCGUGAAGGAAGAAGGCCUUCGGGUUGUAAACUUCUUUUAAGAGGGACGAGCAGAAGACGGUACCCCUUCAAUAAACCCCGGCUAACUACGGUCCCGCAGCCGCGGUAAUACGUAGGUGGUAAGCGUUUUUCGGAUUUACUGGGUGGAAAGGGCGUGGAGCCGGGAAGACAAGUCAGAUGUGAAAACCCGCGGCUCAACCGCGGAACUGCAUUUGAAACUGUUGUUCUUGAGUAACGGAGAGGCCAUCGGAAUUCCGUGUGUAGCGGUGAAAUGCGUAGAUAUAAGGAGGAACACCAGUGGCGAAGGCGGAUGACUGGACGGCAACUGACGGUGAGGCGCGAAAGCGUGGGGAGCAAACAGGAUUAGAUACCCGAGUAGUC